AACGUAGGAGGCGAGCGUUAUCCGGAUUUACUGGGUGUAAAGCGCAUGCAGGCGGUUCGCUAAGUUGGGUGUGAAAGCUCCUGGCUUAACUGGGAGAGGUCGCUCAAGACUGGCGAACUAGAGGAUGGGAAGGGAAAGCGGAAUUCCGGGUGUAGUGGUGAAAUGCGUAGAUAUCCGGAGGAACACCAGUGGCGAAGGCGGCUUUCUGGACCAUGACUGACGCUCAGAUGCGAAAGCUAGGGUAGCAAACGGG
rnacentral:rRNA from 1 species